UACGUAGGGGGCAAGCGUUGUCCGGAUUUAUUGGGCGUAAAGAGCGUGUAGGCGGCUUUACAGGUCCGUUGUGAAAACUCGAGGCUCAACCUCGAGACGCCGGUGGAAACCGUAAAGCUAGAGUCCGGAAGAGGAGAGUGGAAUUCCUGGUGUAGCGGUGAAAUGCGCAGAUAUCAGGAAGAACACCCGUGGCGAAGGCGGCUCUCUGGGACGGUACUGACGCUGAGGCACGAAAGUGCGGGGAUCAAACAGG
rnacentral:rRNA from 1 species